UACGUAGGCAGCAAGCGUUGUUCGGAGUUACUGGGCGUAAAGGGUGUGUAGGCGGUUCCUUAAGUUUGCUGUGAAAUCUCCCGGCUUAACCGGGAGGGUGCGGUGAAUACUGAGGGACUAGAGUACGGGAGAGGAAAGUGGAAUUCCUGGUGUAGCGGUGAAAUGCGUAGAUAUCAGGAGGAACACCGAUGGCGAAGGCAGCUCGCUGGGACGGUACUGACGCUGAGGCGCGAAAGCGUGGGGAGCAAACAGG
rnacentral:rRNA from 1 species